GACGAACGCUGGCGGCGUGCCUAAUACAUGCAAGUCGAACGCAGUGGGGACGGGUGAGUAACACGUGGGUAACCUCCCAUCAGAGGGGAUAACACUUGGAAACAGGUGCUAAACCGAUACUGAUGGAUGGACCCGCGGUUCAUUAGCUAGUUGGUGAGGUAACGGCUCACCAAGGCCACGAUGCAUAGCCGACCGGAGAGAGUGAUCGGCCACACUGGGUCUGAGACACGGCCCAGACUCCUGCGAGAGGCAGCAGUCGGGAAUCUUCGGCAAUGGACGAAGGUCUGACCGAGCAACGCCGCGUGAGUGAAGAAGGUUUUCGGAUCGUAAAACUCUGUUGUUAGUGAGGCGGUAUCUAACCAAAAAGCAACGGCUAACUACGUGCCAGCAGCCGCGGUAAUUC
rnacentral:rRNA from 1 species